UUCAAACCAUAAAAACUAUGCAAGCAUAUUUUUUUUUAAUGGAAUAGUGACUGUCGCGUACCGUUGGCACCUUUGAAUUUACUAUUCCACCCAUUACAAAAAAUCAAUGUCUACAACAUUAACAUGUGUUUGUCCAAGUACAAAAAUAAGACCCGUCCGUAGUACUAAUUAUUAUUGGCUUGUUAAGUGAUUAUGUAAAUUAUAUAAGCCAAUGCGGAAAUUUAGACCACCGAGACUUCAGUACUCUGAUAAAAAUUAUCCUGACCGGGACGUUUUAUAUACAUUUCGACGACUUUCCAAACCUGCGGAUAGAAUCGUAUCUGAAACGCCAACACUUGCAGGCGAUCCAACGACUACUUCGACGCCUGGCCAAGGAAUCCGAGAGGACGUCAUUGAAAAGUGGAACUAAAGGUCCAAACAAGAUGUUUACAAGGAUUGGUUAAGAAAUUCUGUUACCUAUUAAUUUAUUGUUAAAAAUUAAUAAAAAGAAUAAGUCACACAUAGUUAUUUUGUAUAAUUGAAAUAAAAAACAUGUUUUUAAAAACAGUGUAUAGGUUUGUCCGGAAAGUACGUAUAAAAGUUUUUUAAAAAUUUUAUUUUACA